AUGUGCUUGCUUUCUCGGCACCAACACAUGCGUGUGCGCAAACUUGCUGAUGCGUCCGCAUAUCUGUCCAGCCGGGUGGUCGGCCUAGUCGGUUCCGCGAUCGGGAUCCGGUGGAGGAUUGCGGCACGGGUUUGGGCGUGCUCCUGCAGGCGGGCGUCCACCCUUCGCGAAAUUUCCAUGGAUGUGGUGACACGGUGCACCGGAUCAAACCGGCAGGAUGCUGAUAGAAUCUCGGCAAACUUCGUCACGGCCUCGCCAUGCAUGCGCCAUGUCGGCGGUGGGGUGGCCAAGACGACCAAGAAGAAGCCAUCGUCUACACCAGCGAUCACGCCCAUGGACAUCGCGCCCCCGGCACAGAGCGCGGAGGCCACCCCGCCGCAGACGCCACCGCAGCCAAGCUUCCUCUACAGCGCGCCGCCGACGUCCAUGCCUGUGCCCUACGUCUGGGGCUCCUGGCCGCCGUGCGGGCCGGGUGUUUACGAGCAUGGCGGCAACCCGGCUGGCAUGGCGGGACACGCCCCGCCGCCGCUCUGCGUCCCGCCGGCCUGCGCGUGGUACUACCCCGUCGUUGCCGCUGCCACCGACCCCCGCGGCUCGCCGCCGGCCUACGUGCAGCCGUUCCAGGAGCCGACAGGCAGUGGCGGGACGGCCGGGGAGGACACCGACGACGACCCUUGCUCGCUGACCCUCGCCAUCGAUGCUGCCGACAAGAAGAGCCCCGCCGCCUGCCCCAACGCUUACCAAAGUGGCAGCGGCGUGGUGGGGGCAGUGGGGCUGCAGGUCGCGCUUAGCGGCAGAGAGAAGGCGGCGACGGCGGCGGAGGCGAGGAAGAGGAGGAAGGAGCUCACCAAGCUGAAGCAGAUGCACGCCGGAAGCCGCCAUGGCGCUGGCGAGCACUGGUGA
rnacentral:rRNA from 1 species